rnacentral:rRNA from 1 species
GACGAACGCUGGCGGCGUGCUUAACACAUGCAAGUCGAACGGAAAGGCCCUGCUUGCAGGGUACUCGAGUGGCGAACGGGUGAGUAACACGUGGGUGAUCUGCCCUGCACUUCGGGAUAAGCCUGGGAAACUGGGUCUAAUACCGGAUAGGAGCCAUUUUUAGUGUGAUGGUUGGAAAGUUUUUUUCGGUGUAGGAUGAGCUCGCGGCCUAUCAGCUUGUUGGUGGGGUAAUGGCCUACCAAGGCGGCGACGGGUAGCCGGCCUGAGAGGGUGGACGGCCACAUUGGGACUGAGAUACGGCCCAGACUCCUACGGGAGGCAGCAGUGGGGAGUAUUGCACAAUGGGCGCAAGCCUGAUGCAGCGACGCCGCGUGGGGGAUGACGGCCUUCGGGUUGUAAACUCCUUUCGCUAGGGACGAAGCUUUUUGUGACGGUACCUAGAUAAGAAGCACCGGCUAACUACGUG